GUGAGUAAUGUAUGGGGAUCUGCCCGAUAGAGGGGGAUAACUACUGGAAACGGUGGCUAAUACCGCAUAAUGUCUACGGACCAAAGCAGGGGCUCUUCGGACCUUGCACUAUCGGAUGAACCCAUAUGGGAUUAGCUAGUAGGUGGGGUAAAGGCUCACCUAGGCGACGAUCUCUAGCUGGUCUGAGAGGAUGAUCAGCCACACUGGGACUGAGACACGGCCCAGACUCCUACGGGAGGCAGCAGUGGGGAAUAUUGCACAAUGGGCGCAAGCCUGAUGCAGCCAUGCCGCGUGUAUGAAGAAGGCCUUAGGGUUGUAAAGUACUUUCAGCGGGGAGGAA
rnacentral:rRNA from 1 species